rnacentral:rRNA from 1 species
UACGGAGGGGGCAAGCGUUGCUCGGAGUUACUGGGCGUAAAGCGUGCGCAGGCGGCCCGUUAAGACAGGUGUGAAAUCCCUGGGCUCAACCUAGGAAUUGCGCUUGUGACUGGCGGGCUCGAGUACGGUAGAGGGGGGUGGAAUUCCUGGUGUAGCAGUGAAAUGCGUAGAGAUCAGGAGGAACACCGAUGGCGAAGGCAGCCCCCUGGGCCUGUACUGACGCUCAUGCACGAAAGCGUGGGGAGCAAACAGG